rnacentral:lncRNA from 1 species
GAGCCAGGGGUCCUUUCGUCAACUUUUAUUUUGUAUUUGUUCCUAUUGAGUUUUUGUAUGUGGUGUGUAUCACUAUGACUUGCAGUUUAAAAGAAAAAGAAAAAGAAAAAGAAAAAGAAAUGAGGGCUGGUGAGAUGGCUUGGUGGGUAAAGGGGCUUGCUGCCAAGUCUGAUGACUUGAGUUUGAUCUCUAGAACUCAUAUUAUGCAGAGAGAACUGACUCUGGCAAAUUGUCCUCUGCCCUCCAUACACUCACACACACAUAAGCAAUAGAUUAAAAACAACAACCAACCAACCAAGCAAACAAAAAACCUUGGAUAACUUGGAAAUCAGUGCAGUGGUUCCUCAGAAAGAUGGGGAUCGAUCUACCUCAAGUCAACCCAGCUACCCACUCUUGGGCAUAUAUCCAAAGGGCGCAUCAUUCUACUACAGAGACAGCUGCUCAGCUAUGUGCAUCACUGUUCUAUUCAUGAUAGACAGACAUUGAAAACAACCUAGAUGUCUGUCAGGGGAUAAAGAAAAUUUGGUACAUUUACAGAACUUACUCAGAUGUUUAAAAAGAAAAACGAUAUCAUGUAAUUUGCAGGUGAUUGGAUGAAAC